AGGAUUGCAAAUCGACUGGCAGGACAGAGAUCAAGAGAUAAGAAAGCACAAUAUUUGGCCAAUUUGGAGUUCCAAGUUAAGGCCUAUAAGACUCAAAUAGCCAAUCUUCGGCAGCAAGUUGAAUCCUAUGAAAAUCAAAAGCUCUUGAUAAUUUCGGAGAAUGAGAAUUGGGUCGUGAAUGUGAAACUCUUAGGAUCAAAACGUUACUCACAGAAGUUGAAAUUCAGAAGAACAUGGCUGAAGUGAAUAUGCUGAGGAAACUCCAUACCAUGCAGCUUGAGUUGAUGCAAGAACUGAAGUUUUGUAAUACUAGUCUCACGCCAAUGCUCAAUGGUCAAGUCUCAAAUUAUGAUCCUAACA